rfam:Oryza glumipatula chromosome 4, whole genome shotgun sequence.
AGAAAGCCUCAAUUUCUAGGUUUGUGUGUUCAACGUUUAACCGUCCGUCUUAUAUGAAUAUUUUUAUGAUUAGUAUUUUCAUUAUUGUUAGAUAAUAAAAUAUUAAUAAUACUUUAUACAUGACUUAUUUUUUAAAAAUUUUUUUAACCUUUUUAAAUAAGACGAACGGUCAAAUGUUAGACACGGAAACCCAAG